rfam:Brassica oleracea var. oleracea cultivar TO1000 chromosome C9, whole genome shotgun sequence
GGAAGUUAAGAAAUUGUUUCUUAACUUUUAACUAAAAAAGCUAAGAACUUAAAGUACUUAUUUAAGAACCGGUUCUUAGGUUUUUUUGGUUAAAAGUUAAGAAACAAUUUCUUAACUUCU